rnacentral:lncRNA from 1 species
UGCGAUCGUAUCAGCACGCAUCCAAUAUGCGGAACCGAGCCAUUGGAUAAGAUAUCUACUGGAAAUAUAAAAUACGGGCUCAGUAUUAGCCAGUGUAAUGUCUUCGAAAGAUUGACCUGAAUGAGUUAUAUAAUCCCCGCUUUAGAGCAUUAGCCGUUUCUAGCCGAUCCUAUAAUUAUAUUUGGGAUCAAAGGCUUAGUUAUCGUUGUUAUUGCUGCCGCUGCGGCCACAGAGCAUGUGGCUAUCGUUGUGCUACGAACUCCCGAUUUGGCUCAGCAAUUUGUGUAAGGCUAGUCUCUCUGAUUCUGUAUUAUGUAUAAUUUCAAACUGGAAGCGAAAGUCUCUCCUAUUUAACAUAAAUUGUCUCAAAAACAUUGAUGUGUAUGCCACUGAGGGAUAGGAGCGUUAGUCUCAAACAAAUGAGGCUAACUUUGCCUUGCUCUGUUUCAAUCUUCUCCCUUGGUGGUGGUUGUGUGUAUUCAUAUUUCUUAUUCUUUUCCUUUUUAUGUUCGGAUUCUCUCUCGCUUUCCUUCCUAAAAAAUUUGGCUUCUCUCUUACGAGUUUGGAAUCAAGUUUGUAGUUUAGCGGUGGUUUCCACUGCCACUUUGUAGAAUCAAAGGGGGGGAAUUUAAAUGGUUGUUUGAAUUUUCUUGGAUCCUUCAAAGCAUCCAGGGUCGCGAAACGGGUCGAAAGGGAGAUUUUUGUUAGUCACUAGAGAUGUCAACGGGUCGGAUUCGGGUGAAUUUUUAAAAACCCGAAUCCGAACCCAACUCCAAACCCGAGACCCGAAUCCGAACCCGACGGAUUUUAAAAAUCCAUAUCCAAACCCGAACCCGACCAAAAAUCCGAAACCCGAAGCCGAAUUCGAAAAUUUGAAUCCGAAACAAUUAUUUUUUUUUUCAAUAUUUCAAAAUAAAUUAUAUUAAAUCUAAAUUUUUAAAAUACAAAUUUAAAUAUAACAUCAAAUUUUUAUAUAUAUAUUAUAUAUAAUACAAAAUAAAUUUGGGUUCGGGUCGGGUUUGGGUCGGGUACAAUCAAAAUUCAUAUCCGAAUCCAUAUCCGUCAGGUUUCUAUUUUAAAUAUCCAUAUUCGAAUCCAUAUCCAUCGAAUAUAUCCGUUUCAUUCGGGUUCGGGCUCGGAUAAAAUUUCGGGUAUCCAUACCCAUUGACAUCCCUAGUCACGCUUAGCAGCAAAACCGAGGUAAGCUCAGUGAGCUAAAGUAAGUUCGAUUUUAACUCAAAAUUGUAGAUAUAAAAUGGUUUAGUUCAUAAGAAUUAUAGAUACCGAAAAUUAAUGAUUUAUAUUAUAUAUAAUUUGUAAAUUUUUCAGAUAUCAUGAAACAUGUUUAAUCAAUUAAAUUUUAAUUAUUAUUAGAUCUCUAUGCUAGAAUUUUCACAAUGGACAGAACUUUGAAUAGUCGAGACCAGGAGUGCACUAGGUUCAUGCAACAAUUUCGGAGUUGGAAUCUUAUAAUCCACUAUUGUAAGGUUUUGGCUGUUUAGCCAACCAAAAUGAUAAAAUUAAUGUGAAAAAAAUAGUCCCGAUAAAAUUAGAGGAUUGCAAAUCAAAACGAAUUGCCAUAGGAUGGCAAACAAUAUAAAGAAUACCUCUACAAAAUUAUGAAAUUUGGUUUCUAAAUAAUUCCAAUAGCAUAAAUCAUGUCUAACGGAGUCGAUCGCAGGAUCGGAUGCUCUAUUAUCGAAAACAACUUACAAGCACGGAUGCUUCCGUAUUUUCGAAAGCAUAAGAGCCUAGCUCUCUCUCUCUCUCUCUCUCUCUCUCUAUAUAUAUAUAUAGGGAAAAUUUCAUAGGUACUCCUAUAGGAGACUGAAAUUUCAUUAAUAACCUUCUAAAAUUGAAAAAAUCACGAAUGACCUUCUCAAUUCAAAAAUACUCAUGAAUGCCCUUACAGGUAAAGUGUCGUUAAAAUCUAACCGAACAGAUUAUAAAUGACAUUUCUAUUCCUGUACGGUUCAUUAAGUAUAGGAAGCCGUAAUGGUAUAUUAGCACUAUUCACAAAUGCCCUCUUAUUCUCUCCACAUAGCAAUGAGCCCACUAAGUUGUCGAUAUUUUACAACACCUCAUAACACAACUCCUAAUUGUGAUUGUCGUAAACCAUGCCGAAUUUAGAUGUCAAAACAACCACACAAUAAAGGUCGAUGAUUUUAUUGAUGUCCAAAUUGGAGGGUAAGUUGAUGUGAUACAUUAGUGUGCAUAUAAAGGCUAAGUUACAUAAAACCUUCAUGUCAAAAUUCGAUUUUUCACUUUCCUCCUCUGUCAUUUGAAAACCUACACUUUGCCCUCUUGUAAAAUGAAAAUUGUUCACUUCGCCUCUUGCCGUUAGUAAUCUGUUAGAGUUCCGUUUAUAAAAUAUUAUUAUAUAUUUUUUUAUGCCAAAAAUGCCAUCAACCUUCUCUCCUGUGAACAUGAUGAGAGGCAAAAUAGUGAAGGGCAAAAUGGUUAUUUUAUCAUCACAGUUCACACCGUACUCCUGUGAACAUUUUUUAUUUUAUAAGAAGGCAAAAUGUAGGUUUUUAAAUGAUAAGAGGGAAAGUGAAAAAUUAGAUUUUGAUAGGGGAGUUUUCUGUAAUUUAGCCUUAAUUAAAUUUCAAAUAUAUAAUGCUGUAUAUUUUCUAUAGAUUUAGGAAUAAAGAUAAUGCAACUUUGGGUAUUUACUUUUCAAUGCAGCACAGUUAACCUUGAGUACCAAAUACAUAUGCUGAAAAUAAUAUAGGCCGAAGAAUUAUGAAAUUGGAGGAGAAAAUCCUCCUGUGUACUUUAUAUACUAGUUUUUAAAUUUUUUUAUCUUAGCAUUAAUUAGUUAUUUCCCGCCAAAUAUAUCAUUCUAACUUUUGGGGAAAAACUUAUCAUUCUAUAUUUUAACUUUCAUUUAACUACAUUUUAAUUCAGGUAGAGCGACGUAUCCUUAACAGCAAGGAUAGUUAUGAUAAUUUUAUAUGUUUGAAGAGGUGUUUAUUAUAUUUGAAAGUUUAGAGGAGUAUUCAUGAAAUUUACAAGUUUGAUAAGCUUACUAAUGAAAUUGCCCUUUUCUUUAUAUCAAUAAUUAAUUAUAUCAAUAAUUGCAUAUAAUUUAGGGUAAACUUCAAAUACUAAUCCUGUGGUUUCGUACUUUUUUACUUUAAUAUCAUGUAGUUUAAAAAGUUUCACUUUAGUACCCUAUGAUUUUAUUUUUCUCUUUCCACCAGCAUCUCCCUUAACUCUCCAUUAAAUUAUAUACAGAAAAAUUUCAGAUACCCCGCCCUAUGAUUUAUUGAAUAUUCACUUUAGUAUCCUGUGGUUUACCGAAUUUUUACUUUAGUACUCUAUGGUUUUAAUUUUAUCACUGAUAUAAUAGAAAAUUAAUGGAGAGGAUAACAGAAAGAGAAAUUUAUUAAAUUUAUUAAAAUUAAUAAUGAAAUAAUAUAAAAGCUCAAAUAAAAAAAUAGAGGUUAAAGGGNAUUCAUUUUCCUGCUGGUGCCGUGCCAAAGGAUGGACCAUCGGCAGGAGUUACUUUGGUGACAUCGCUUGUUUCACUAUUCAGUCAAAGGAAAGUUAGAGCAGACACUGCAAUGACCGGAGAAAUGACUCUGAGGGGCCUUGUAUUACCAGUUGGUGGCAUCAAGGAUAAGGUAGGUUUUUUUGACCGGUAUACUAUGUUGUGGAAAUAAUGCGAGAGAUACUUCAUUAGGAAUACGUCCCUUGUAAUUAUGUAUCUUUUAAUUUAUACUUUUAAUUUGCUCCUAAAGGUAUUGGCAGCUCAUCGUUAUGGCAUCAAGAGAGUAAUCUUGCCGGAACGGAAUUUGAAGGACCUAACUGAAGUCCCAUCGGCCAUUCUAUCUGGCAUGGAGGUAUUUUUUUCUGCUUUUUUGCUCGGAACUUUUUUAAUGUAGAUUCUUUUGUAAUUAUUUUAAUAACGUUUGAAGAAUUUGAUAAUAGAUGACAACACUUACUAUACUCACUGACUGAUCAUCAUCUUGUCAAAAUGCUCACUAGUUUGACGAAACAGUUCUGGAUCUGAGCACUGAGAAAAUUUGAAUAUUGAUGAUCUAAUGAAACUAUUAUCUCUCGUAACAGUCAUAACUAAUAAUCAUAUCUUCUGUUUGAAUAUGUAGUGGUUGAAUUAUCGAAGUGAUUUUUCUGUUUGAGUUAAAAAUAAUUUUUCUUGGAGUAAUUUGUUUGAUAAAAGCAUCAAAUUCCUGAAAUAGUUGGUUUAGGUAUGUAGUGAAAGAUUGUAUGCUAACUGGCUAGUUUGGAGAUUUCUUCCAACCUAGCUAAAAUCUUCAAAUAUCUGUUAAAAUCUGCAUUUAUUGUAAUUUAUUGGUAUAUCAAAAUCAAGUGAAGCCCUUACAGCAAACGACUAGAAUAUUUAAUGAUGAUUGAUCCCUAGUCCUGUGGUUUUUCUUUUCCAGUUAGAUUUCUUGUUAGAUUGUAAUUGUAGGAUUUCUUAUCCACUUUGAGAUGAUAGUUUCUCUUAUGGUGUCCAAAAACACAUUAAACUACUGCCGAUGCACUAAAGAAAUUAGUUAAAAUUUAAUGAGAACCAUUGAACCCAAAAAAUAUCAUGUUUAAUCUCCUGCUUGAAUGAUCUUUCCAUAUAUUCCUGCUUAGUUUUUGACUACCAGUUAUCUUAACUCUUAUGUGGUUCCUAUUUUUAACAGAUUUUGCUUGUGAAGCGUAUUGAGGAAGUACUGGAACACGCAUUUGAAGGUGGAUGCCCCUGGAGGAAACAUGCUAAGUUAUAGCAUUCUCCAGUGUUCUCCAUUCGUGGAGUAAAUAUUGAUGGAACUGCCGUUUUCGACCAGAUUUAGGGCAUCCUGAUUGACAAUGGCAGAUGCGAUCGUAUCAGCACGCAUCCAACAUGCGGAACCGAGCCAUUGGAUAAGAUAUCUACAGAAAAUAUAAAAUAUGGGCUCAGUAUUAGCCAGUGUAAUGUCCUCGAAAGAUUGACCUGAAUGAGUUAUAUAAUCCCCGCUUUAGAGCAUUAGCCGUUUCUAGCCGAUCCUAUAAUUAUAUUUGGGAUCAAAGGUUUAGUUAUCGUUGUUAUUGCUGCCGCUGCUGCCACAGAGCAUGUAGCUAUCGUUGUGCUACGAACUCCCGA